GAAUUCGCCCUUAGAGUUUGAUCCUGGCUCAGAACGAACGCUGGCGGCAGGCCUAACACAUGCAAGUCGAGCGAGCUCUUCGGAGCUAGCGGCGGACGGGUUAGUAACGCGUGGGAACGUGCCCUUCACUGCGCAAUAGCCACCAGAAACGGUGAGUAAUACCGCAUACGCCCUUCGGGGGAAAGAUUUAUCGGUGAAGGAUCGGCCCGCGUUAGAUUAGAUAGUUGGUGGGGUAACGGCCUACCAAGUCUACGAUCUAUAGCUGGU
rnacentral:rRNA from 1 species